CAGCCGCCACGGGAAUACGAAGGGGGCUAGCGUUGCUCGGAAUCACUGGGCGUAAAGGGUGCGUAGGCGGGUCUUUAAGUCAGGGGUGAAAUCCUGGAGCUCAACUCCAGAACUGCCUUUGAUACUGAAGAUCUUGAGUUCGGGAGAGGUGAGUGGAACUGCGAGUGUAGAGGUGAAAUUCGUAGAUAUUCGCAAGAACACCAGUGGCGAAGGCGGCUCACUGGCCCGAUACUGACGCUGAGGCACGAAAGCGUGGGGAGCAAACAGGAUUAGAGACCCCGGUAGUCCCUGUCUCUUAUAC
rnacentral:rRNA from 1 species